rnacentral:rRNA from 1 species
UUACUGCUAUCGGAGUUCGAUUAAGCCAUGCGAGUNUAAAGGUUUCUUNGGAAACCUUGGCGGACUGCUCAGUAACACGUGGAUAACCUACCCUUGGGACUGGAAUAACCCCGGGAAACUGGGGAUAUUNNNGNAUAGAUCAGGGAUGCUGGAAUGCACCUUGAUCCAAAGNUCCGGCGCCCANGGAUGGGUCUGCGGCCUAUCAGGUAGUAGUGGGUGUAACGUACNUACUAGCCAACGACGGGUACGGGUUGUGAGAGCAAGAGCCCGGAGAUGGAUUCUGAGACACGAAUCCAGGCCCUACGGGGUGCAGCAGGCGCGAAACCUUUACAAUGUGCGAAAGCAUGAUAAGGGAACUCCGAGUGCCAGCAUCUAAUGUUGGCUGUCCUUGUGCCUAAAACGCACAAGAUAGCAAGGGCCGGGUAAGACCGGUGCCAGCCGCCGCGAUAACACCGGCGGCCCGAGUGGUAGCCGCUAUUAUUGGGUCUAAAGGGUCCGUAGCCGGUUCGAUAAGUCCUCUGGGAAAUCUGGUUGCUUAACAAUCAGACUGCCAAGGGAUACUGUCGAACUUGAGACCGGGAGAGGUAAGAGGUACUUCAGGGGUAGGAGUGAAAUCUUGUAAUCCCUGGGGGACCAUCUGUGGCGAAGGCGUCUUACCAGAACGGGUCUGACGGUGAGGGACGAAAGCUGGGGGCGCAAACCGGAUUAGAUACCCGGGUAGUCCCAGCCGUAAACGAUGCUCGCUAUGUGUCAGGUACGGUGUGACCGUAUCUGGUGCCGUAGGGAAGCCGUGAAGCGAGCCACCUGGGAAGUACGGCCGCAAGGCUGAAACUUAAAGGAAUUGGCGGG